ensembl:snoRNA
CCUGGUCCCAGAAGCACUACAGGUGUAGCUGCUGUGUCACAUUUGCGUCAGUAGGUGGUAGAACGGAGAGAGGCUAUGUCUAUGUUCAGUUUUCUGACCUGUGAACAACUGAAUGAUUAGUAGCAUAACAGU